UCUAUGGGAGCUUGCUCCCUGAGAUUAGCGGCGGACGGGUGAGUAACACGUGGGCAACCUGCCUAUAAGACUGGGAUAACUUCGGGAAACCGGAGCUAAUACCGGAUACGUUCUUUUCUCGCAUGAGAGAAGAUGGAAAGACGGUUUACGCUGUCACUUAUAGAUGGGCCCGCGGCGCAUUAGCUAGUUGGUGAGGUAAUGGCUCACCAAGGCGACGAUGCGUAGCCGACCUGAGAGGGUGAUCGGCCACACUGGGACUGAGACACGGCCCAGACUCCUACGGGAGGCAGCAGUAGGGAAUCUUCCGCAAUGGACGAAAGUCUGACGGAGCAACGCCGCGUGAACGAAGAAGGCCUUCGGGUCGUAAAGUUCUGUUGUUAGGGAAGAACAAGUACCAGAGUAACUGCUGGUACCUUGACGGUACCUAACCAGAAAGCCACGGCUAACUACGUGCCAGCAGCCGCGGUAAUACGUAGGUGGCAAGCGUUGUCCGGAAUUAUUGGGCGUAAAGCGCGCGCAGGUGGUUCCUUAAGUCUGAUGUGAAAGCCCACGGCUCAACCGUGGAGGGUCAUUGGAAACUGGGGAACUUGAGUGCAGAAGAGGAAAGUGGAAUUCCAAGUGUAGCGGUGAAAUGCGUAGAGAUUUGGAGGAACACCAGUGGCGAAGGCGACUUUCUGGUCUGUAACUGACACUGAGGCGCGAAAGCGUGGGGAGCAAACAGGAUUAGAUACCCUGGUAGUCCACGCCGUAAACGAUGAGUGCUAAGUGUUAGAGGGUUUCCGCCCUUUAGUGCUGCAGCUAACGCAUUAAGCACUCCGCCCGGGGGAGUACGGCCGCAGGGCUGAAACUCAAAGGAAUUGACGGGGGGCCCGCACAAGCGGUGGAACCAUGUGGUUUUAAUUCGAAGCAACGCGGAAAAACUUAACCAGGUCUUGACAUCCUCUGACAACCCCUAGAGAAUAGGGCUUUCCCCCUUCCGGGGGAAAGAAAUGAAAAGGGGGUGGGAGGGGUUUUCCUUCCCCCCCCCGGGCC
rnacentral:rRNA from 1 species